rnacentral:RNase_P_RNA from 1 species
AUCGGAUAAUCGCGCGAGGUAAAUUAUUACCUUGUGAGGAAAGUCCGUGCAUCCAAGGACAGACCGCCGGAGAAACUCCGGGCAGCGAGAGCUGGCGGAUCGGACCACAGAAAAGGGUGUAUAUGUUAUAUAUUUUACUAAACUUGUUACAAGUUAAAUGUAAAAGGAUAACAAAAUUCUCCCAAAAGACUGCCGAUGGAUUAAUUUCACAGGCGAUGGUGCAAAGGUGAGGUAAGAGCUCACCGGCGAUAUUGAGAAAUAUCGGCCAGGCAACCCCCGGUCGGAUGCAAGAUUGAAUCAAGCGUUUGAGGUGUCCGCCAAGCUUGGAAAAAUCGCUAGAGAUUGGGAGUAAUCCCAAUACCAGACAGAUGAUUAUCGGAGUAAUUAUACUCCCUGCAGAUUAAUUCUGUAUGAGAAACAGAACACGGCUUAUGAGUUGCUUU